AUUACCUUUGAUUUAAAAUAUCAUAGAGUUUCACAACCUCACUAAAGAUUCACUCAAAUCACUCGAGAUGUUUAAGGACAAUAAAUGAAGCACUCAAUAGUCAAUAAUGAAGAGUCAUUACCAUAGGCUUGCAUGAAAAUAAAAUCCCCACCACUAUAAAUUGAGAUGAAACAUCAAUCUAAAGCUCUUUAGAGGGUUGUAACGUGGCUUUGGUUAGAGGGUGUAGUCACAAACUGAAAGAAAGGGUUAGAAUCGAGAUUGAAUUGAAAAAUUGCCUAACUAGAAAAGUGACUUGUCAUCAAUUGUGUACAACAGAGCUUUUUCUCAGAAUAUGGAAUUUAACUUCUUUAGCUCAGAAGAUCACUACUACUAAUAUGUAUACAUGUAUUUUUUUUUUGUCUUAGAACAAGUCAAAUUACAAAAUAGAAUCAAACAUGGCUAAGCAAUUAUUCCAACUCAAAUCUCGACAAAAAUAGGGAUCAAAUUAAUUUAGGGGAUUUCAACAACAAUGAGUUAUGGGUUAAUAUCGAGAGUAAAUCAAUGAAUGGGUUGUUAGGCUCAAGAGGGUUCACUAAGGGUUAAUUGUGAAGGUAGGCUUUUAUGGAGUGAGUGGGUUAAACCUAAGUGCCUUUAUCAUUUUGACAUAUCAAAUCAAAUGUUGUGGUCUUGACAUGCAUAAUCAAGCAAGUUCUAGAAUAACAAUUCAAUACUGACGCACUCAUAAUGAAAGUGAGCAUGAAAGAAAUAAUAGAUGCUCUAAAGGCUCAAGAUCUCACAAAAAUUAUGGCUUUUUGAUGUUUAAACUUGUGAAUUCCAACUCAAGAUAAUACCUAAACUUAAGGAAACAACAUAAAAUUUUUUAAUUCUUCAAAAAUCAACAUAUCAUGAUUGAUUCCCUAAUGUCUUAAAGUUUAAACAAUCAAUGCAUAAAUGCCUAUGUUUUAAUUCAAGAUAUAUCAAUAAAAGUCAUAAAUCAAUCAAAAUUUAUCCUAAACAUGAUAUGGGAGCUUUUCAAGAGAACAAGACAAUCAUUUAGGGAUUUUUCUGAUAGUGAAAUGAAUACCCCCACACUUAAGAUGCACAUUGCCCUCAAUGUACAAAGAUGAAUAUAUAGAAAAAAAUAUAAAAAUAAGAUAGGAAGAGAAGUGAAACUUCUUGAUUGAUGAAUGAAUUUCCUUGAACUGGAGUUUUGGAGAAUAAUCGGCGUAAGGAUGGAGGAGGAUACUCCGGCAGUGGUAGAGAUUCAUUAGUCCAUAUGUCCUGCGCCAAAAGAAUAUUAUAUCUGGUGGUAGUUAUGGUCGUGGUCGAGCAGGACAUGGCAGUCGUGGAGAACCUUUCCCAGUGGAGUUUCAAGUUCUUGAGUAAUAGUGAGCUUUGGAGCUCUUUAUAACUGUGAUAGAAUCAGGAACUCUUUUAGGAAGCAUACCGAAGCAUAAUUACUCGUAAUGAAAUAGCCGAAGAAUAAAAAUUGUAAAAAAACUCAGGAUAAAAUAGUAUUAAAAAGAAAUCAAAAAUAAUUUCAAAAUAUAGAGAUAAAAAUAAAAUAAAAUAAAUAAUAGGUGUUUAUAGAGAAAUUGGGGCACACGGCCAUGGGGCACGCCUGUGUGCUCUAAGCUCAGCCCGUGCGUUUCGUAAUUUUUGAAAUUAGACGCAUUGGUGUACACGGCCAUGUUGCACGGCUGUGUCGAUCUCUGUUUGCUUAUUCCACGUCCGUGUAUGGAGGCUCACGCCCGUGUUAAAUUGACAGGUUUAUCCAUGAUUUCAAAACACGGCGUGUUGCAUGCCCGUGUUAUUUUGGCAGUGUCGCCUAUGGCCAUGUCGCACUGUUGUGGCUACUUAUCGCAUCCCGUGUUAGGGAAGAAAUUUUUUCCCUGUUUUCACACGGCCAUAUUGCACGGCCGUGUUUCAUUCCGUGGUAUGUGCACGGCCUAUGGCACGCCUAUGUUCCUGGCUGUGUGGUUCUGAAAAGCCUGUGUUCAAUGAUUUAGUUAGUAUGUUAGAUUUUAAAAACUAAAAUUUAAAUAAAGUAAUAUUGUUAGUGCUCGGGUUGCCUCCCGAGAAGCACUUAUUUAUAGUCUAAGCUUGACUUAGCUCUCCUUAAAUGGUCAUGGUGGUUCGAAGAGUUUAUACUCCUGAUUCUUGCUAUGAAUCUCAUCAAAAUAAGGUUUUAGGCGGGUAUUGUUUACCUUAAAAGUGUCGAACUUGGGAUGACUUACCUCAACUGUACCGAAUAGGAAAAUGCUAAGUACCGUAAGAGGAAUUUCUUCAUUCGGUUUGGCAGUGACAAUGUGAAGAUCUGCGACAUCUAAUAAAACUUUAUCUCCAACCUUAAGUUAAUUUGGAAAGGUAUUGAGUUUGUUCUGACGUAGUUUUGGUUUAUCGUGUGUUCUCGAUUUAUGUGUCUGCCAUUCAUCUAGCUCCUCGAUUUGUAGCUUUCGUUCUUCAUUAAUAGGUCCUCUACUAUUGCUUGAAAAUGACUCAUGUACUUCUUUCAAACUCAUUUCCUACAAAGUAGGUUGCACCAUAUUGUCAGUUUUAGUAGAACGGUUUAGACAAUCACCUUCAAUUCUUGAUGUGUUACCGAAAUUGCGAGCUUAAAGGGUGAUUGUUUCGUCUCCCACACGAAGUGUGAGCUCACCUGUGCCAACAUCAAUAAUCUUUCUAGCAGUUGCUAAAAAGGGUCUUCCUAAAAUCAAAGGAGUGUUGCUAUCCUCCUCUAUGUCUAGAAUAACGAAGUCAACAGGAAAUAUAAAUUUAUCGAUUUUAACUAACACAUCUUCAAUAAUACCCCCAGGAAAUCUUAUAGUUUUAUCUGCUAAUUGAAUGCUCAUCCUAGUCUGUUUGGGUUUCCCAAGACCUAGUUGUUUAAACAUUUUGUAAGGCAUGACGUUAAUACUAGCCCCUAAAUCAGCUAAUGCAUUAUUAACAUCUAAACUACCAAUUAAGCAAGGAAUCGUAAAACUCCCUGGAUCUUUUAGUUUGUUGGGUAGUUUAUUCUAUAGAAUAGCUGAGCAAACUACGUUUUGCUUCACAUGCAAAGCCUCGUCCAACUUCCGCUUAUUUGCUAAAAGCUCCUUUAAAAAUGUCAUUGCGUUUGGCAUCUACGAUAGAGCUUCAAUAAACGGUAAGUUAAGAUGUAAUUUUUUUAAGAGUUUAAGGAAUUUACCAAAUUGUUCAUCUGAGCGGUAUUUUCAUGUCACAUUAGGGUAUGAUACACGAGGUUUGUAUUCUGUACUUACCGGUUUUUGCUCAUUAUGGUCUACCUCACCUUUACCUUUGCUUAUCUCAGUUUCUUGCCUUGGUUCUGGUUCAGGUGUAACUAACCCUUCCUCAUCUUGACUAGUAAUCGCAUUGAGUUGCUCCAUUGGGUUAGAUUCUGUGUUGCUUGGCAAGCUACUUUGUAGUCGUUCAGAAAUCAACUUGGCAAGCUAUCCAAUUUGAGUUUUGAGCCCUUGGAUCGAUGCUUGUUGAUUCUUAAGUGCUAUCUUGGUAUUCUAAAAACUAGUUUCUGACACCGAUAUAAACUUUGAAAGCAUCUUUUCAAGGUUCAGCUUCUUUUCCUAUUGGUAGGGUGGUUGUUGAAAACCUAGAGGAUGUUGUGGCCUUUGAUUUCCUUGACCGCCCCACGAGAAAUUGGGAUGGUUCCUCCAACCUGCAUUAUAAGUAUUACUAUAUGGGUUAUUUUGGGAUCUAGAGUUAUUGUUACCCAUAUAUUGGACUUGUUCCUCCUCAAUGCUAGGGUUGAAGGGUUGAUAUUCUGUGCAUGCUCCUCCUUCAUUCGAAUUGCACUUCAUCACUGGAUGUACCUGAGUAGAACCACACAAACCAUCAAUCUUUUUAUUUAAGAGUUCUACUUAGUUAGAUAGCAUAGUAAGCGCAUCGAGGUUAAAAACACCGGCUGCUUUUGUCGGCUGUGUUCUCAUAACUUGCCACUGACAAUUAUUCAGUGACAUCUCCUCAAUAAAUUCGUAAGCCACCUCAGGUGUCUUAUUAUUGAUAGUUCCUCUAGCGGCUGCAUCAAUCAUCUAUCGAGUCGAAGGAUUCAGGCCAUUAUGGAACGUUUGAACCUGUAGCCAAAGUGGUAACCCAUGGUGAGGGCAUCUUCUUAAAAGGCUUGUAUCUCUCCCAUACAUCGUAGAGUGUUUCUAAAUCCAUCUACACAAAAGAAGAGAUAUCAUUACGUAAUUUGGCUGUUUUAGCAGAUGGAAAAUAUUUUAAUAAAAAUUUUUCGGUCAUUUGUUCCCAAGUAGUGAUUGACCUUCGUGGUAUUGAGUUCAACCAUUGUUUAGCCUUAUUUCUUAAUGAAAAUGGAAACAAUCGAAGGCGAAUGGCAUCAUAAAAAAUUCCAUUAAUUUUGAAGGUAUCGCAAAAUUCUAGGAAAUUUGCCAAGUGAGCGUUGGGAUCAUCAUCCUGCAAACCAUCAAACUAAACAAACUGUUGUAUCAUUUGAAUAGUGUUAGGUUUCAGUUCAAAAUUAUUUGCAGCAAUAGCAGGUCUAACUAUACUUGACUCAGUUCCUGUUAAAUUAGGUUUAGCAUAAUCAUACAUAGUGCACGAAGCAGGAUUUUGAUUAACAACAAUUGCAGGAAGUAGAAGAUUUUCUUGGUUUUCAGCCAUCUCCUCGGUUGUGGUUUGAAUAUUGUCCUCUUGCUCGUUCUCUGUGUAUCUUAAGCUUCACCUUAUUUCUCUUUGGUUUUUGUGAACUGUGCAAUCGAUCUCACUGUCAAAAACUAAUGGUCCUGACGGAUUUAUUCUAGUCAUAAACUAUAAGAACCUGCCAAAAAAAGGGAAAAGAAAGAAUUAGUAAUAAAAAUUAGAAUAAAAUUUAAAUUGCAGUAAAAGUAAAUGGCUAAAGUAAUAAAAAUCGAGUGUUUCUAAUAUUUUAGUUCCCCGAUAACAGCGUCAAAAACUUGAUACGUGAUAUUCGUGACAGGUUUUAAAUAUUUAUAAUGAAUCAUUCUUGAAACUAACUAUUAUCACGAUAAAGGCAAGUGUACCUAUCGAACAAUAGUAUAGGUUUAGCAAGACCAGAUUGUCGAACCCAAAGGAACUAAAAGUACUAGUAAUGACUUUUUUAUUAUUAUCUAGCCUAAGAAUAAUGAGGUUUGUUUUAACUAACUAAUUAACUAAACUAAGAAUUCACAGAAAAUUAAUUUUGGAAAACUCGAUUGAUUGAGACAAUACCUAAGGAAAAAUCCACCUAUACUUCACUUGUUAUUUAACUCUGAAUCGGAUGAUUUAUUCAUUUGACUUGAUCCGUAGAAAUCUCUAAGUUAAAUUAUUAUCUCUCUCGAGACUAACAACGUUUAACACUAGGUUAAAUAAUUGAAAUCUCUUUCUAAUUAACUCCCUAGGGUUGCUUUAACACGAUCUAUAGAUCCCCUUAUAAGGUUUCACCCUAAUCCGACAAAAUCUUGUCACCCUAUCUCUAGGCGCGCAACUAACUCCCCUUAAUUAUAACAAAUGUACUCUUAGACAGGGUCUAUUCCUCCUCUGAAUAAGAUCUUAACUUGAAUUAAUAUCCUGGAAUAUCAAAACAAGAAUUAAGAACACGUAAUUAAGAACAACUCAAAUAUUUAUCAUACAAUUCAGAUAAUAAUAACAAGAUCUGUCUUAGGUUUCAUUCCCCUUAGGUAUUUAGGGGUUUUAGUUCAUAACUAAAAGGGUAAACAUCUCAGAAGAAUAAUGAAUACAAAACAUAAAGAAAAACCUAAAACUCCUGAAGGGAAAUUGAGGGGAGAUCUUCAGUCUUGAUGAUGACUCCGGCUUCUAAGAUGGAUCAAUCGAGUUUCCUUGAGCAGUUCCCUGCUUCUCUAUCUGUGUAUAUCAUUUUCCUCCUCAUCUAGGGUGUAUUUAUAGGCUUUAGAAUGCCUAAGAACCCUCAAAAUUGGCCUUUUUCGAUUUAGACUAAACUUGGGCUCGGCAGGAACACGCCCGUGUGACACUCCAGUGUGUGAUUGCUUAAGGCCGUGGUCAAGCCUGUUAAAUAGGCAUGGGCGUGUGGUCCACCCAUGUGAGUCGUGCUUCGAUUUUGCCAAAUUGACACGGUCAUGUGGUCUGCCCGUGUGAGGAGGUCCAGGCCGUGUUGAUUUUGUACGUUGGCUCAUUUUCUCUGUUUUUGGCCUAUUUCUCGUUCCUUUCACUCUCCUAUGCUCACCUAAGUAUAAAACAUGAAAUUAAUGCAUUAGGAGCAUCAAAUUCACCAAUUUUAAGGAAAAAUCAUCCAUAAAAUGUGCUAAGCAUGGGAUAAAAAUAUGUAUGAAUUACGGUUUAUCACCCACAUACCUUAACCGAGCAAAGAAUCCCCAAAAUUCCAAGAACAACAGUGAAAACUUAAAAGUGAUAAGUAAAAUUGAAGAAACAAUAAAAGCCGAAACUUUAUCAGGAAAGGGAAAAAACGUCAAAAAGAAAAAGAUGAAGAGAUUUUUAGGGAAAAAUAAAAAAUAAAAAAGAAAUAAACUAAAAUGAUAGCAUAUCCCUAGAUUCUCUCCCCACUAACUCAAGUUCCUCAGACUUCCCACUCGAUUAAAACUCUAUCAGAUUACGGAGCAAAAUAUCACCCACACUCAUGCAGGGAUUUAAACUCAGGACCUUCAACACAACACACAGACUCCCUUACCACUCGAACUAGCAGACUCAUUAUGAUAUGGUUUUACAAAAAAUUUAAUAUAAGCCCACUCCCCAAAUGCAAGGCUUAAAUCAUAAAAAUAUCAAAAUUUGCCAAAGGUAGGGCUUGAACUUGAGACCUCACACACACACCCAAGACCCUUAACCACUGAAGUAGAUACACAUUUAUGUCGCAUUUUCACAAAAGAAAAAAUAGGAAUUUUGGGGCAUUAUAGAUCCUCAUAGUACUCUUGAAAUUAUAGACAAACACUAAAGACGAUAUUGCUUAAAACUGUAGACAUUAGAACUGAAAAAUUUCACGAAAUAUUUAGAGUUUGUAUCUUUCUGAAUCUAUAGAUAAAACAUAGGGUUGUAAAAAUGAUAUGAAAACCUGAGGUAUGCAUACUUGAGGAGUGCAAUGUUGAGCAGCUCAAGCUGAGUCAUAUGUUUUUCAAGGGCGUAUGCCUAACCUUGAGAUGAGUGACACCAUGGAUGCACCUAUCGCUGAAGGCAGAAAUUAAGAGACUGGGAUGAUGUAGUGUCCAAAAAAUAUUGGGAGUUUUAAAAAGAGGUUUUUAAGAUUAUGGUUGAUAAGACCAAGAUAAUGGAAGAGAGUAAGCGCUUGGAGCAUGAGAAAAAGGAAAAAAAAAAUAAAGUACAAAAUAAGAGGGGUUCUUGUCCUGCUGGCUCGAAUCUGCGAUCUUUUAAGUGAGUUAGAAAGGUAAAACCUCAGCAGAAUGUUGCAGCAACGAGUAUCGAAAGUUCUAUUAGAUCAAUGAGAAUUCUAGUUUGUAGGUAUUAUAAUUAGUUCCAUUUUUCAAGUGUUGAAAAUAGUUUGGUACAUGUUUGAGAUGUGGGUCUACUAAGCAUCGUCGUAGGGAUUGUCCACGUCGUCCUCCUAGUUUGAUGCAAGCUCCAACUCAAAUUCAGAAUCAGAAAGCUGGAUAGCUACCCUUGAGGGGUACGGUUAGAAUUAAGGCUAGAUAGCUGACACUGGUUUAUACAGCUAGAUGUUAAGAGGUUCAAGAUGCAUUCGAUGUUAUUGUAGGUAUUUUUACGACCCAUUCUAAUUUGUACCUUGCAUUGACUGAGAUUGGUUUUACCCAAUUGGUUGUUGUUAGUAGUGUUUUUAUUUAACUGAGAAUUUUGGGUUGGGGAAACUGUUAGUGAAGUUAUUGUAGUUAGUCUUUUGGGAUAGACUGUGGUAGUGAAUACGAUCUUCAACAGAAAUCCGUUAGAGGUUUAAGGAGAUGUAUUGUCUAGAUUGUACUAGAAUAAGAUUUGCACAGUAGAAGCAUAGUGGUCGGUUUGAAAAGAGGGAUAACAGAUUUUGUGGCUAUGGGAUUGGCGUGUUAGUAGGGAAAUUUCGAAGAUGAAAUUUCUUUUUAAGAGGGGAGAGUUGUCACUUGUCACAUCCCAAAGAUCGGGUUAGUAAAAUCGAUUUUUUGAACUGAGAGUGGUCACGCACUGAUUUUUAAGGUUAUCUUUGUGCAUGUGUUAAAAAAAUGAGUUACUGGUCUAAUGGUUAAGUGUUAUUGAAACUGUCUUACAAACAAAGUUCAAAUCCCUUCCCUUGCAUUAUUUUUAUUUUGUUUAAUUUUGCUUCAAACCCUAGAGUGUGUCACCCAUGCCUAUAAAAACCCUAGUAUAUAUGAUUUUUUUCUCUUCUAUUUAGCCUUUUGCUCAUUUUUUUUCCUCCUUACCAUCCCACCCUCUCAUUUCUCUUUUUUUCCUUAAUUUUUCUCUCAUUUUUUCUUCAUUGUCCUAUUCUAACCUUAAUUAUUUUGCAACCUUGUAAUGACCCAAUAUUUACGGGUAUUGGAAAAUUGAAUUUUCGGGCCAUCAUUUCUACAAAAUGAAUUCGUAAAUAUUUACUAGAAAUAUUUACGAAGCUAAUUGUGUAGUUAAUUAGACUUUGGUUAAGUGAAUUAGCUUGAAUUAAAGCUAAUUUAGUGAAAUGACUAGAUUGAAUAAAAGGGUAAAAGUUGAAUUGAAGAAUAAAGAAAAGUCAAAGGAUUAAAUUAGCAAUUAAACCAUGAGUGCCAAGUGUGUGAUAAUAGUGAAAUACAUGUGGAGUAUGCAUAAAACAUAUAUAGAUAAUUAUUAGUAUUUACUUAUAUAAUAAGUAAAUAAUAUUAUAUUAUAAUUAUAUUAAUAUUAUAAUAUAUUAAGUGAAUAAAGAAAAUAACAGAAACAAAAUUUAAAAGAAAGAACAGGGAAAGAAACGAAAGUGGGGGAAAGAAAGAAGGAAAAAAAAGAGAAAAGGAAAAAUAGGGUUUUGAGGUUUGAAGCUUAAUUGGUAAGUCAAUUUAGUCAAUUUUCUUGUAAUUUUGAUAUUUUUGGAAUCUUAGAAUAAAGUUCUACUAGAAUUAUGUUGAAAUUUAGAAAGUUAGUGAAUUUAGAUGUUAAUUAAGUUGAAUAAAUAGAUGAAUUAUGGGAUAAAAUGAUAGAAAUUUAAGUUAGAAGUGGGUAAAGGAUUGAAUUGUAAAACGAGAUAUAAGUUUUGUUAUAGUAGGGAAUAAAUUGUCUAAAUUGUAGAAUUGAUGUUUUAUAUUGAAUAUUAAGAGUUGAAACUUGUUUAAAGUAGGUAUUAAAUGAAAAUAUGAGAUUUAAUUGAAGAGAAAGAAUGGUUAUGGUGGAAGGACAAAAUUGGAAUUUAUGUAAAAGUUACAUGGAAAAUAGAAGAGUGUGUUAUUUAAUGAUAAAUAUUGAUGAUCUUAAAUUUUAAUUUUUCCGUAGCUAACGUAGCACCAAAAAUGUCAUCAAAGAAGGGAAAAGAGAAAGUGAGCAAAGAUAACGAAUAAACUUGAGAAUUACGGUUAGGUACAAAGUAAAUAACGUCUCAGCAUCCAAGCCAACUCCCGAACUCAAAUUCUUGGUGAUGUAUCUUAUCUUGAGGAAUGGCAUGUACCUAGGUUGUCUUAUGUUAUUUUGAGUAUGAAUAUUAAUAGUGUAAGGAUGAUAAAGGUUAAUCUAUAUAAGCAAAAUUUCUGUUUAUAAAA